UGAGGAAUUUUGCGCAAUGGGAGCAAUCCUGACGCAGCAACGCCGCGUGGGUGAUGAAGGCCUUCGGGUCGUAAAGCCCUGUCAGGUGGGAAGAAUGUCCUGGAAUUGAACAGGUUUCGGGAGUGACGGUACCACCAGAGGAAGCACCGGCUAACUCCGUGCCAGCAGCCGCGGUAAUACGGAGGGUGCAAGCGUUAUUCGGAAUUACUGGGCGUAAAGCGCGUGUAGGCGGUCCGGCAAGUCUGAUGUGAAAGCCCCGGGCUUAACCCGGGAAGUGCAUUGGAAACUGCAGGUCUGGAGUACUGGAGAGGAGGGGGGAAUUCCCGGUGUAGAGGUGAAAUUCGUAGAGAUCGGGAGGAAUAUCAGUGGCGAAGGCGCCCAUCUGGACGGUAACUGACGCUGAGACGCGAAAGCGUGGGGAGCAAACA
rnacentral:rRNA from 1 species